UGCCAUCAGCCGCGGUAAUACGGAGGGAUCGAACGUUAAUCGGAAUUACUGGGCGUAAAGCGCGCGUAGGCGGUUUGGUAAGUGGGAUGUGAAAGCCCCGGGCUUAACCUGGGAAUUGCAUUCCAAACUACCUGACUAGAGUAUGGUAGAGGGAGGUAGAAUUUCUUGUGUAGCGGUGAAAUGCGUAGAUAUAAGAAGGAAUACCGAUGGCGAAGGCAGCCUCCUGGACCAAUACUGACGCUGAGGUGCGAAAGCGUGGGGAGCAAACAGGAUUAGAUA
rnacentral:rRNA from 1 species